UAAAAAAAAUUAGAUUUUAUGCGAUGUAGUUUAAUUUAAAGUACCUAUUUAUCUACUUUUAUUCAACAAUGUGUGUUUCCACGAUAACAAUGAUUGUUUAAAAAAGAUAACAAUAAUAAAAACUUUAUAAUAACAAAAAAUAAAUACAAACGGUUGCCAAUGACAAACCAAUUUUUAAUCAUUAAAUCUUUUUUAACCUAAAGAACUCGGUUCUCCUAGUUCUAUCGAAUUUUAAUGAAAAUUUCAAAAAACUACCUUUUUAAAGUACCACUCGGAGAACAUUUCCUUUCGGAGAAUGCGCUGUACUUGAUGUUCGGAGAAAGCUUUCUGGUAGAAAAAGUGUUCACAUAAAAAAAAUAAAACAUCGUCGUAAAACUUAGCUCCGCUCGGAGUCUAAAAUUAAUAACAAUAUUAUACGUGCGCGCGUGAGAAAGUCUCGUAACGGCUGUUCGACGGAUACUUUUGAGAGACAGGUUUCGACCGGUUUUGAUUGGGCGAAUCGUGUCGACGAAUUGUCACGGCCGUACGGUGAAAUGUAUUGCGGUCGGUUAUAAUAUUAUAGGCUUAGGAUCAGAGGACCGUAUCAAUUGAAUCUGCAACUUUUAAAACUGUAAAUUCCGUAUAAAUUGGUCAAUGUUAAUAACCCCUGAAGUACCAACAACGACGGUUGGCCUCUUCGCUCACGCCUGGUGUUUCGAAACUGUUAACCUCUUUCUUUCACUCGUGCUAAUUG